GAAGGUACGGAUUGGGUUCGCCAUAGAAGAAUCUUGAACCCUGCUUUCUCCAUGGAUAGGCUCAAGAACAUGACGAACGUUAUGGUGGUUUGUACGCUCAAGAUGUUAGAGGAGUGGAAAGAAGAGAGGAGUAAGGAAGAAA